CUCGGUGAUGCUCAACGUCCGCCUGCAGUGCGGAUCGAGUGAGCAAACGCCCUCCGCCACGGCGGAGAGGGCCAUCCGCGCCUUCCGCGCCAUCCUGGCGGCCGCAGGAAGGACAGCGGGGCGCACAGUGCCUCCAGACUGCGGCGGGGAGAGCAAGCGGCACAGCCAGGGCCCCUCCAUUUUAGGUCUCUGCGAAAGGCCUGAGAAACCGCAUCCCAAACCGCAAAUCCUUCACAGCCCAGUCCUUUUCCUCUGCAUCCAGAGAAUCACCAGAGUCUGGCAAACCUGUUGCCUCCCCAUUGGCCGAAAGCAGGGGAGCCCCCAAAAAGGGAUGAUUUACCAGGCACUGUGCCUGAAGAGGACUCCUGAGAUGUCACCUGAACCCUAAAUGGGAGAGGACUGGGCCAGUGAGGUCUCAGGAAGGCCCUAGGCAUUGGUCUUCUGGGGGAUGGCUCAGCCCUUCACUGAACAUUUCAACUCGGAUCCUAGAGGUGCCAUUGUUUCUGAGGCAGUACGGCUAGCAGCUAAGUGAAGAGCCUGCCUAGAAGGAGAAGAAGGGCCUUUCUGUUCUCCCAAAGGUCUGGAGUCAAGGUGUUGAAUCCAUGUUGAACCUCAAGAGUAAGGGGAAAUGAAACCAUCUCUACAGGCCACUGCUGCAGCCCAGAGUCCUCGCUGCAGUAGCCCGAAGUUUGAUCCCAAGGAUGCACAUGGGGCUCACAACACUGUGCAACGUCAGUCCCAGAGGAGCCAGCGAUGUCUUCUACACUAUCCUGGGACCAAUGGUGUACUCUUCGCUAAAAUCAUGCACACAGGCAAAAUGGCUAUUGAAGGAAACUUCAUGAUUUUGAAGCGCCCAGAACUUGAUGCCAAAUACCCACGUAGGAUGCACAGUGGCCCACAACUCCAUUUCCGGGGCACCCAAGGCACCCUUCUGCCCUAUUCUGGGACCAGGAAUGCAGUUGCUGCUUAGAACACACACUCGGGCAAAACAGCCGUUC
ensembl:processed_transcript